AUAUCAAUAAGCGGAGGAAAAGAAACUAACAAGGAUUCCCCUAGUAACUGCGAGUGAAGCGGGAAGAGCUCAAAUUUAAAAUCUGACAGUCGUCUGGCUGCUCCGAGUUGUAAUCUAGAGAAGUGCUAUCCGCGCUGGACCGUGUACAAGUCUCCUGGAAUGGAGCAUCAUAGAGGGUGAGAAUCCCGUCUUUGACAUGGGCUGCCAGGGCUUUUGUGAUGUGCUCUCAAAGAGUCGAGUUGUUUGGGAAUGCAGCUCAAAAUGGGUGGUAAAUUCCAUCUAAAGCUAAAUAUUGGCGAGAGACCGAUAGCGAACAAGUACCGUGAGGGAAAGAUGAAAAGAACUUUGGAAAGAGAGUUAAACAGUAC
rnacentral:rRNA from 1 species